GGGUUGUGAGGUUAAGCGACUAAGCGUACACGGUGGAUGCCCUGGCAGUCAGAGGCGAUGAAGGACGUGCUAAUCUGCGAUAAGCGUCGGUAAGGUGAUAUGAACCGUUAUAACCGGCGAUUUCCGAAUGGGGAAACCCAGUGUGAUUCGUCACACUAUCAUUAACUGAAUCCAUAGGUUAAUGAGGCGAACCGGGGGAACUGAAACAUCUAAGUACCCCGAGGAAAAGAAAUCAACCGAGAUUCCCCCAGUAGCGGCGAGCGAACGGGGAGCAGCCCAGAGCCUGAAUCAGUGUGUGUGUUAGUGGAAGCGUCUGGAAAGGCGCGCGAUACAGGGUGACAGCCCCGUACACAAAAAUGCACAUACUGUGAGCUCGAUGAGUAGGGCGGGACACGUGGUAUCCUGUCUGAAUAUGGGGGGACCAUCCUCCAAGGCUAAAUACUCCUGACUGACCGAUAGUGAACCAGUACCGUGAGGGAAAGGCGAAAAGAACCCCGGCGAGGGGAGUGAAAAAGAACCUGAAACCGUGUACGUACAAGCAGUGGGAGCACAGAGCAAUCUGUGUGACUGCGUACCUUUUGUAUAAUGGGUCAGCGACUUAUAUUCUGUAGCAAGGUUAACCGAAUAGGGGAGCCGAAGGGAAACCGAGUCUUAACUGGGCGUUAAGUUGCAGGGUAUAGACCCGAAACCCGGUGAUCUAGCCAUGGGCAGGUUGAAGGUUGGGUAACACUAACUGGAGGACCGAACCGACUAAUGUUGAAAAAUUAGCGGAUGACUUGUGGCUGGGGGUGAAAGGCCAAUCAAACCGGGAGAUAGCUGGUUCUCCCCGAAAGCUAUUUAGGUAGCGCCUCGUGAAUUCAUCUCCGGGGGUAGAGCACUGUUUCGGCAAGGGGGUCAUCCCGACUUACCAACCCGAUGCAAACUGCGAAUACCGGAGAAUGUUAUCACGGGAGACACACGGCGGGUGCUAACGUCCGUCGUGAAGAGGGAAACAACCCAGACCGCCAGCUAAGGUCCCAAAGUCAUGGUUAAGUGGGAAACGAUGUGGGAAGGCCCAGACAGCCAGGAUGUUGGCUUAGAAGCAGCCAUCAUUUAAAGAAAGCGUAAUAGCUCACUGGUCGAGUCGGCCUGCGCGGAAGAUGUAACGGGGCUAAACCAUGCACCGAAGCUGCGGCAGCGACGCUUAUGCGUUGUUGGGUAGGGGAGCGUUCUGUAAGCCUGUGAAGGUGUGCUGUGAGGCAUGCUGGAGGUAUCAGAAGUGCGAAUGCUGACAUAAGUAACGAUAAAGCGGGUGAAAAGCCCGCUCGCCGGAAGACCAAGGGUUCCUGUCCAACGUUAAUCGGGGCAGGGUGAGUCGACCCCUAAGGCGAGGCCGAAAGGCGUAGUCGAUGGGAAACAGGUUAAUAUUCCUGUACUUGGUGUUACUGCGAAGGGGGGACGGAGAAGGCUAUGUUGGCCGGGCGACGGUUGUCCCGGUUUAAGCGUGUAGGCUGGUUUUCCAGGCAAAUCCGGAAAAUCAAGGCUGAGGCGUGAUGACGAGGCACUACGGUGCUGAAGCAACAAAUGCCCUGCUUCCAGGAAAAGCCUCUAAGCAUCAGGUAACAUCAAAUCGUACCCCAAACCGACACAGGUGGUCAGGUAGAGAAUACCAAGGCGCUUGAGAGAACUCGGGUGAAGGAACUAGGCAAAAUGGUGCCGUAACUUCGGGAGAAGGCACGCUGAUAUGUAGGUGAAGUCCCUCGCGGAUGGAGCUGAAAUCAGUCGAAGAUACCAGCUGGCUGCAACUGUUUAUUAAAAACACAGCACUGUGCAAACACGAAAGUGGACGUAUACGGUGUGACGCCUGCCCGGUGCCGGAAGGUUAAUUGAUGGGGUUAGCGCAAGCGAAGCUCUUGAUCGAAGCCCCGGUAAACGGCGGCCGUAACUAUAACGGUCCUAAGGUAGCGAAAUUCCUUGUCGGGUAAGUUCCGACCUGCACGAAUGGCGUAAUGAUGGCCAGGCUGUCUCCACCCGAGACUCAGUGAAAUUGAACUCGCUGUGAAGAUGCAGUGUACCCGCGGCAAGACGGAAAGACCCCGUGAACCUUUACUAUAGCUUGACACUGAACAUUGAGCCUUGAUGUGUAGGAUAGGUGGGAGGCUUUGAAGUGUGGACGCCAGUCUGCAUGGAGCCGACCUUGAAAUACCACCCUUUAAUGUUUGAUGUUCUAACGUUGACCCGUAAUCCGGGUUGCGGACAGUGUCUGGUGGGUAGUUUGACUGGGGCGGUCUCCUCCUAAAGAGUAACGGAGGAGCACGAAGGUUGGCUAAUCCUGGUCGGACAUCAGGAGGUUAGUGCAAUGGCAUAAGCCAGCUUGACUGCGAGCGUGACGGCGCGAGCAGGUGCGAAAGCAGGUCAUAGUGAUCCGGUGGUUCUGAAUGGAAGGGCCAUCGCUCAACGGAUAAAAGGUACUCCGGGGAUAACAGGCUGAUACCGCCCAAGAGUUCAUAUCGACGGCGGUGUUUGGCACCUCGAUGUCGGCUCAUCACAUCCUGGGGCUGAAGUAGGUCCCAAGGGUAUGGCUGUUCGCCAUUUAAAGUGGUACGCGAGCUGGGUUUAGAACGUCGUGAGACAGUUCGGUCCCUAUCUGCCGUGGGCGCUGGAGAACUGAGGGGGGCUGCUCCUAGUACGAGAGGACCGGAGUGGACGCAUCACUGGUGUUCGGGUUGUCAUGCCAAUGGCACUGCCCGGUAGCUAAAUGCGGAAGAGAUAAGUGCUGAAAGCAUCUAAGCACGAAACUUGCCCCGAGAUGAGUUCUCCCUGACUCCUUGAGAGUCCUGAAGGAACGUUGAAGACGACGACGUUGAUAGGCCGGGUGUGUAAGCGCAGCGAUGCGUUGAGCUAACCGGUACUAAUGAACCGUGAGGCUUAACCUUACAACGCCGAAGGUGUUU
rnacentral:rRNA from 1 species